rnacentral:lncRNA from 1 species
UGUUGUUCUGGGAAAUUAGAAGAGCAUCACAGAUGACUCCCUGCUUCUCUUGCAGACCUAAAUCCACAGCCCAGCUUUGAGAAAAAAUCAAUAUUCCUUGAGAGAAAGGGCGCAUUUCUGUAUUUAUUAAGUCUCUGAGUCCUUUAUGUUGUGAGAAGAGUUCCUUGUAGAGGCUUUCUGGAGUAUAAGUCAGGAUCUCCAGCAGCUCACUCUCCACCAGCUUCUUGGCCAGCUCAGCAUCGGCUGCCAGUAGGUUGUAGGCAAUGACCAGGCCCCGGUGUUGGACAGACAGCUGGUCGUGCAGGCAAAGCCGCUGGAGGAUCUCCAACCACUGGGUUGUCU